rnacentral:rRNA from 1 species
CUACGGGCGGCAGCAGUGAGGAAUAUUGCACAAUGGGGGGAACCCUGAUGCAGCAACGCCGCGUGGAGGAUGACGCAUUUCGGUGUGUAAACUCCUUUUAUAUGUCAAGAAAAUGACGGUAGCAUAUGAAUAAGCACCGGCUAACUCCGUGCCAGCAGCCGCGGUAAUACGGAGGGUGCAAGCGUUACUCGGAAUCACUGGGCGUAAAGGACGCGUAGGCGGGUUGGAAAGUCAGGUGUGAAAUCCUACAGCUUAACUGCAGAACUGCACUUGAAACUUCUAAUAUAGAGUAUGGGAGGGGGAGAUGGAAUUAGUGGUGUAGGGGUAAAAUCCGUAGAUAUCACUAGGAAUACCUAAAGCGAAGGCGAUCUCCUGGAACAUUACUGACGCUAAGGCGUGAAAGCGUGGGGAGCAAACAGGAUUAGAUACCCCAGUAGUC